GCAGUGGACACUUCACGGCUGGCACAGGAGAGAUCACAAGGCCUUGCUCAAUUUCAUCAAAAGUGUUAAAGCGACUCAGCAGAUUGUGAAGCACAAGUGGAAGCUGAUAAUUGGUGUUUCUUACAAAUCAACGGCUUGUCUCCACACAUCAAGGUGAGAAAAUCAAUGUAAAAGAGGAGAAAUAACCCACACAACUACAUACAACUAGGAAAUGAUAGUUGGAUCUGAACAAAAGGAUAUGCACUCUUAACAAGUUCAACAUCCAAGUACUAUUGCAAGUACAAGCUGUAUUUCAUGGAAAAA